UACGUAGGUGGCAAGCGUUGUCCGGAAUUAUUGGGCGUAAAGAGCGUGUAGGCGGCCAGGUAGGUGGGUUGUGAAAACUGGAGGCUCAACCUUCAGACGUCGACCCAAACCCCCUGGCUAGAGUCCGGAAGAGGAGAGUGGAAUUCCUGGUGUAGCGGUGAAAUGCGCAGAUAUCAGGAAGAACACCCGUGGCGAAGGCGGCUCUCUGGGACGGUACCGACGCUGAGACGCGAAAGCGUGGGGAGCGAACAGG
rnacentral:rRNA from 1 species